AGAAUGCUUUGCCUAGCAGUUCUAAAAUACAUCUGCCGGUGUGCCCUACUUCAGUAAGCCCAAACUGCAGACAUCUAAUUGAGGAGAUUUCCUGUUUGGUAGUCAAGCAAAGAUGAAAACGAAAGUGCCACAUUGUUGGUUGUGACCAAGAAAGCCCUAUGGAGAUCUCCUGGCACAAGAGGGUCCCGGAGAACACAGUCUGGGAAAUGAUGUCUUCCAGGAGGCAUGGAAGGGCUGAAGCUGGCUGGAACUCUGAGGCCUGCCCUUGGCAGCAUGGUGUAUGGAUAAGCCCUCUGUUAUCUCAUUCGAUUCUACUCCUGAAGACACGUUGGUUGUACAACUGGAGAACAGCUUCCAAAUCAAAAACGAAAAAUAUUCAAAGUAAUGCCCUCGAGACUGAUAGCUUUGAAAGGUAUGCUAUGCUUACCCCUGCGGUGCAUGCGCUGCUGGCAUCCCAGUGCCUUCCCUUCUUUCUGAAGCACAGACCUGGUGCUUACCUGCCAUUUUGCCUCCAGCCUGGUUCCUGAUUUCUUAGCACCAUCUUGGUAAAUGGUUCCCCUGCUUUCCCAACUAAUAUCAACACAGACCUUCAACUGGCUGCCCUUGGGUCAAAGGUUGAAAUGUCCCCCGCCUCAGAGCUGGCCCUCAAAGGGCACUUGUAUAUGUGGGUAUGUGUAAGCCUAGAUUUCUCAUUAGACUCAUGAUUUAUCUUAAUCCAUUUCCUGCAAUUGUCAUUCCAUACCUGCUUUGUUUUGUGGGAGUCCUUGGGCCCAGAGUAACUUACUCCAGUGCUCCUUGUUGCUGGGUUUGUCUAUGAGCCCAGCCGUAAUGGAGGCCGUUCUGGCAUUCACGUCCCUUGGUACGGGAAGGUAAGCUGCUCCAAGCGUCGUGGGCCAUCUUUUUCCUUGCUUGCUGUCUUCUUCAGCAGGGAGGGCUGCUGACAGCUGAGCAGGCUGCCUCAUUAGAAUUCACUGGGUAAAAGCUGAUUCUCUGUUUAACUGAUGAGGGAAUUCUUGCGCCAAGGGGGCGGGGGAGAGGUUCAUUCUGUCAGCUGCUUUCUUCCGGCCUUGCUGUGGGGGGAGGGGAUGGCUGGUAGACAGUCUAAAAUGGCCUGUACAGGAGAUACCGGGAAACACCAAACCACUCUUUGCCCAAGAAGCCGUGAAAAUCAUUUCCAAAGAUCAGCUCCUUUCAGCAUGUCACACACACCACAUCUUCCCUUUGAAAAAUGGCAACUACCCUUUAUUCCCCUCAGAGAAUAGAAAGUCUAUGCCAAGUUGGCGUUCCUUUAUUCCGAACGGUUCCUUAUGCGCGGGAAUUCAGGUCCUUUGCUAAAGGGGAUGGCGGAAGGAGAGAAUGUCCCGUUAGGUCACACUGAAGCUUUAGCAUUCUGCCUGUGAUGACGCCAUGGAAGACUUCUUUCCACCACUGAUUUGUCUGACAUGUUUCAGAGCAAGAUACGGGCUUCUGCUUUAGCUUCAAGCAUUCAACUUGGCAGCUUCAAGAAGUCUUCAAGGCCAUCCUUCCAGGUCACGGGUGGCUGGCUGGCUGAGUCAGUAGAACAUGGGACUCUUGAGCUCGAGGUUGUAAGUUCAACCCACGUUGGGUGUAGAGCUUACUUACAAAAAAUAAUAAAUAAAAAAUUUUAAAAACCCAUCCAAUUGGACCCCUUUGUUUUAUGAAGGCAGAAGCCAGGAGGUGACAUGAACACCCUCCCCUCCCCCUGCUUGCAGAAAAAAAGAUUCUCUGAGAUCCCUUCUGAUCCAAGAUCCUAAAGGCCACAUUCUUAAUAGGGAAGGUUGGCCCUCUCCAAAGUCACACCACGAUGGUUCCGGGUUAGACUCUAAAGCAGUUGCUGCUUUGUUCUUAGCUAGGUUUGAGG